rnacentral:rRNA from 1 species
CCACAAUGGACGAAAGUCUGAUGGAGCAACGCCGCGUGAACGAUGAAGGCCUUCGGGUCGUAAAGGUUCUGUUGUAAGGGGAAGAACAAGUGCCGCAGGCAAUGGCGGCACCUUGACGGUACCUUGCGAGAAAGCCACGGCUAACUACGUGCCAGCAGCCGCGGUAAUACGUAGGUGGCAAGCGUUGUCCGGAAUUAUUGGGCGUAAAGCGCGCGCAGGCGGCCUCUUAAGUCUGAUGUGAAAGACCCCCGGCUCAACCGGGGAGGGCCAUUGGAAACUGGGAGGCUUGAGUAUAGGAGAGAAGAGUGGAAUUCCACGUGUAGCGGUGAAAUGCGUAGAGAUGUGGAGGAACACCAGUGGCGAAGGCGACUCUUUGGCCUAUAACUGACGCUGAGGCGCGAAAGCGUGGGGAGCAAACAGGAUUAGAUACCCCUGGUAG